UACGGAGGGGGCUAGCGUUGUUCGGAAUUACUGGGCGUAAAGCGCACGUAGGCGGCUUUGUAAGUUAGAGGUGAAAGCCUGGGGCUCAACUCCAGAAUUGCCUUUAAGACUGCAUCGCUUGAACGUCGGAGAGGUGAGUGGAAUUCCGAGUGUAGAGGUGAAAUUACGUAGAUAUUCGCAAGAACACCAGUGGCGAAGGCGGCUCACGUGGCCCG
rnacentral:rRNA from 1 species